CGAAUCAUCAUUGUAAUGGCAACUUUAGCUGUCAGGGAUCCUGUUGCAUCUCUGCCUCAGCCAGUCUGUGCACAGAUCAUGGAGCACCAGGGCCGUGGAGCAUGUGGGCUAUGGAAUCGGGUUGCCUAUUUUCAUCUUGACUCCAUCACUUGCUGGGCAACCUUGAGGAGCGGACUCAAACCUUUCAAAUAUUUUGAGUGGUUGCAAAAAAGAAACACAAAACAAUUCUAUUUUCUGAGUUUUAAAAAUGUCUGAACCCCCGGAAGACCCAGCCAGACCAAAUCUGCUUUUUCUCCUGGAUCCAUAAUGUACAGUGGUAAAUUAAAGGCUUCGAGAAGCUCUGUA
rnacentral:lncRNA from 1 species